GAUGAACGCUGGCGGCGUGCCUAAUACAUGCAAGUCGAGCGAACAGACGAGGAGCUUGCUCCUCUGACGUUAGCGGCGGACGGGUGAGUAACACGUGUAAACCCCCCUUUUAUUACUGGUAUAAUUCGGGAAACCGGGCGCAAAACCGGUAUAAAUUAUUGAACCCCAGGGUUCAUUGGUGAAUAACGGUUUUUUGGUCACUACUAGAUGGUUCCGCGCCGCUUUGGCUAGUUGGUACGGUAACGGCUUACAAAGGCAACGAUGCGUAGCCGACCUGAGAGGGUGAUCGGCCACACUGGAACGGAGACACGGUCCAGGCUCCUACGGGAGGCAGCAGUAGGGAAUCUUCCGAAAUGGGCGAAAGCUUGACGGAGCAACGCCGCGUGAGUGAUGAAGGUCUUCGGAUCGUAAAACUCUGUUAUUAGGGAAGAACAAAUGUGUAAGUAACUAUGCACGUCUUGACGGUACCUAAUCAGAAAGCCACGGCUAACUACGU
rnacentral:rRNA from 1 species